UACAGAGGUCCCGAGCGUUGUUCGGAUUCACUGGGCGUAAAGGGUGCGUAGGUGGUUGUGCAAGUCUGAUGUGAAAUCUCCGGGCUCAACCCGGAAACUGCCAUUGAUACUAUCUGUCUUGAAUAUCGUGGAGGUAAGCGGAAUAUGUCAUGUAGCGGUGAAAUGCUUAGAUAUGACAUGAAGAACACUAUGCAAGGCAGCUUACUACCCGAAUAUUGACACUGAGGCACGAAAGCGUGGGGAUCAAACAGG
rnacentral:rRNA from 1 species